CCUGCGGUGGUCAUCUUUCACCCGGUUGCUGUAAAAAAAAAUUCAUUCGCGAAACAUCCGGCAGCCUCGACGCUGCCCCUGACCUCUCCGAUGGCGCUCGAGCCGCGAUGGAUGGGAAAUUUCUGCCGCCGCCCGCGGCCGCCUGCGGACCUGCGCUCCGCUGCUGCCGCCUGCACGCGGACCUCCCCAAACCCUAGUCUCUUUUGUUCCCCCCGCACCUUCAUUGCUGCCGCCACUGCUUCCUUCACCAACGCCGGUCGCCGUCGAAAUUCGUCGUCUUCGGUGAUCCUCCCUUCGAUUCACCGCGGCUACACCUUCACCUUUCCCUCCUCGGCCUAUUUGAGCCCUCACCCGCUCGAUUUCUCGGCCGCACAGCGCUCCCGGCGACCACCUCCGCCCGCCGCCGCCAUCCACCGAGGAUAUCCUUGGCCUCAACGCCAACGGCGGGUCAGCGGCGAUGGGCAGAGCGGUCCAACACGCCCACGGGUGGGCCCUCCCCCAUGAGUGGCUUCUUUUUCAAGGCUUCGCCUCAAGAGCCGCAGACGCUGACCUCUCCUCACCGUGUGCCUCUACGGUCGUCGUUCGUCUUCUCAGCAUCACGGCCGCCGCAACUAGCGGGAGCAAGAAGCGGCAGCGGCCGAACCUCCACGUCAAGUUGGCCUCACGCUGCAUGAGACCCCGGCAAUGGGAAGAAGAGACGUCGCUGCCGCAGAAGCUCGCCAAGACGAACUCAUCUGACAACAAGAGUCCUCCCGCUCGGGCAACAUGUCCAGAUGGUGCUGUUUGUUCAUCACUUUGCUGGCCAAGGUGGCCAACUGACCAAUCAGGUACGGCCGUGCAUCUUCACUUUCUGAUUUCUUUGCCUCCGUGCGUCUAUGAAUUCCAUCCCAUGCUGCCUAGAAGUGCUUCGUCCAUGGAGGAUUUACACAAUGUGUUUGAUGGCUUGCUUUUGCAAUCGUUGCUUCGGGCCUUUGGCCAUAGAGGAUGCAAGAUAUGUGUUUGAUGGUUUGCCUCUGCAACACAGACCAAUUAACAAUGCGAAAUUAAGCUAACAAGGAGUCCUAUUUGAUGGGGGGAAAAAGGGACACAUCCAGGCUAUUUGUCUUCUCUAAGUUAAUGUUUCUUGCUCGAAUAUGGAUUUUAUUUUUAUUUUUGAAGCAAUAAUUUAAACAAGUUAAAAGUACCUUCGAUAUGAUGCUCCUUUGUUGGUCUCACAUAAAAAAAAAGUUCAGUGAAAAAGCACAUAUUUGACUGAUUGGUCUCCCAUUAAAAAAAAUUAAAAGAUUUUGUUAGAAUGCUAAAUCACAGUUAAUAUUUUCUCAUGUUCAGAACUAACCUUACGACUAAUUGGUAUAUGGACAUAUGCAGAUUGGUAUUUGCAGUUUCAGGUAUCUGUAAAACACAAUUGGUUGAAUAGAACCAUGCAAUACUCACCACACAAAAAAAAGGGAUGCAUAUUUCAACAAAAGUAUUUUUUUGAGCAACCAAAAGAAGUAUUUCAUAUUGUUCUUUUUUUUUGUUGAAAAUGCAUAAGUAUGGCAACAGAUAAAGGAAAAGGGUGGUAGCUAAUAAGCUCCUUCAGUUUGUGGUGGAGUGAUGCCUGCUGUUAAAAAAUCCUUAUUUAUGUCAAGCUAUGUUAAGCUAAUCACACAUUAGAAUUUAACUGUCGGCUCUGAUUUUAACUUUCUUAUUCGAUUACGGUGUCUGCAAGAUCCAGCGCUAUAGUUCCAGGUAAGCAAGAAAAACAUCCUAUUCCAAAGUUGUAAAUACAGUUAAGAACUAUAACUUUUUUCUUAUAUUUGAGAGUGAACAUGUUUCAUUAUCUUUAGCUUGAAAUACACAGAUAGUGAAGGCUUAUCAGCCAAUUGAAUUGCAACCUCUCCACACAGUGAAUUUAUAUAGUAUGAAGGGAUUGUGUUUUUUUAGAUUAAGGGACAACCCAGUCUUGAACAUUCACAGGUGAAUGUCUACGACCACAAAAAAAUAUAUCUGGCCAUAAAACCAAAAACUUACAUGAGUACUUAGACUCCAAACCUCCAAUCGAGGAACACAAAAGACAAGAAAGGAGAACAUAAAAAAGAAAACAAAAGACUAAACUUUGAACUUCUUCUAGAUCCUUCCUUUAACCUUGCUUUGGUCCUCAUGUCUUGUGAUCUAGAAACCGUACUGAGUCGAUCUCUACCACGCCCAUAGAUUAGACACUGCCAUUGCUCGAAGUUGACCAUGGUGUUGCAAACAAGGACUCCAAGACGACGCCUCAAGAGGAGAGCAACAUUACGAUGCUGCCGCCGCCCGAACCAGUGAGUCGGUUUUUCGGUUUUCACUUGAAUCUGUCCCUGCAGGUUGAGAUCCUUGUCGGGAUGGAUGACGCCCCCAACAGGGAGAACGAUGCCCUCGGACGUCGUCGUCAUCACCGCCAGCAGGAACACCGGCAAGGCUUUCGGCUGGAGAAUCUCAUCCACUGCAAGCACACAACCCGACACCUCCCGGAGCAGCGCCGCCCCAGCCUUCCCUCGCGAGAGCCGCGUUGCAGCAUCACGCCGUCCCUCGCCGUGCCGUUGCCGUAGCGUGGCUGAUGUUAUGGCCUGGCCCCCAACUGCACACGCACAACGCCGCCGGGAGCACGCAGGCUGCAUGUCAUCAGACACGCUCUGCACCUCGCCGGCCGAGCCGCAGAUCCUCACACCGACCGCCGAAAUGGGCCAUCUCCCCGCCAGAUCCACCCCUGGCCUUGCCGGAUCUGGCCGCCGAGGCCACAGAUCCGAGCGCCAGCGGCCGCAGACGGGCGCCGGUGGCCGGUGACGAAACGCGCCGCCGCCGGGGGAGCCCCUGCCCCGAGGAGCAGCAGGGAGAAGUCCCCGCCGCCACCAUCCUCUCGACUGCGUGGCGUUGCCGGCAGCUCGCUCCAGUGACGGCGAGAUGGCAAGGAGAGGGAGGAGGGGCUAGCGGCGGCGUAGGGCGGGUCGCCGCCCGUGUCGCCGAGACAGGGCGACGCGGGGGCCUUUCGUCUGCCUUUGGAACUUGGUACAUCAUGAAGGGAUUGUGUAAUGUAUCUAUAUGUUUUUUCAGUUUUUUUGCAGUGUGAUAAAUAAGAGCUUUGACGCCAGUCACAAUAGCAGUCGCAUGAAGUUUAUUCUAACUUUAGUAGAUAGGAAGAUAAAUUUAUUUGAACUUGAGUGCUUAGUAUUGCUUUGAAUGUUGAAUGAACAACGCAGGUGAGUGCAAACAAAUCAGAUAUGUUAUUUUGGUCACCUUGAAACUGCAGGCGGUAUGCACAUGGAUAGAUAUCAUUGACAUAGGGUCAGUGGACGCCCUCUGAAGGCUUUCAUACACAAUGACAUUGAUUCUUGUGGAGCGAAGACGAGGCCAUGUGGGAAGGUGAAGUUGAUGGAGGGAGGGUCAUGUGUGGAAGGAUCUCUCAUCGGUGGAGGCGUUCGUGGGGGGUGGCGCCCAGAAGUCCAGGACGUCUGCAUCAUCUACCUCGAGACCUUCUCCAGCAGCAACCCCUCUGCGGUACUGCUCCCUGCUUCCCUGCUGCCGUACUGAAGGAGAUGGAACUUCGAUUUGGGUUAUGCCUUGCUGGGGCUCUUUAGCAUGCUUGCUCUUUCUUGCUCGUGCUUGGCGCAGGUGACCAUCUGAUCUGCAAACACACUGUCCAUCUCCAGGGCGUCCUUCAGUGAAGAAGAAGAAGAAGUUGCUCAAAAAAGAAGAAGAAGAAGAAGAAGAAGAAGAAGAAGACUCAUUCGCUUCUAAACUGAUUCGAUCACGGACUUUUUCUAAACUGAUUUGAUGGAUCCCUUACUUCUUGCAAUUUUUUAUUAUACUACCUCCACAACUCUAUGAGUUAUAUACUCUAAAUUUUGUACAUCCAUAUCCAUAUGCAACAUUAAUAUAAUUUACACCUUGAUUGAUUGAA